ACAGGGCCCAUAGUCCCAGGGUAGGAGGCUGGCAAGCAGGACCCUCCAAAAACCAGUCUCCCCCAGUAUCUUCCCCAGAAGUGCAGUUCGUCACACUGUGUAUCUGUGUGUCUAGGUGUGUGUAUCUGUGUGUCUAGGUGUGUGUCUAGGUGUGUGUCUAGGUGUGUGUAUCUGUGUGCCUAGGUGUGUGUAUCUGUGUGUCUAUGUGUGUGUCUAGGUGUGUGUAUCUGUGUGUCUAGGUGUGUGUCUAGGUGUGUGUAUCUGUGUGUCUAUGUGUGUGCCUAGGUGUGUGUCUAGGUGUGUGUAUCUGUGUCUAGGUGUGUGUCUAGGUGUGUGUAUCUGUGUGCCUAGGUGUGUGUCUAGGUGUUUGUAUCUGUGUCUAGGUGUGUGUCUAGGUGUGUGUAUCUGUGUGUCUAGGUGUGUGUCUAGGUGUGUGUAUCCGUGUGUCUAGGUGUGUGUAUCUGUGUGCCUAGGUGUGUGUCUAGGUGUGUGUAUCUGUGUGUCUAGGUGUGUGUAUCUGUGUGUCUGUGUAAGUAUGUAUGUACGUAUUUGGCAUGUGGCAGUGUAUGUACAUAUAUCCUAGCAAUCAAACACCAACACAACAUGCAAACAAACAUUACAUACAAAAAUCCAUAAGAAUUCAAACUCCCAACUCAAACACACCCUUCACUCUAACAGCAAUACUACACACAAA